CAGUUUAACUGACAGGAGAUUAGAGCUGUUUGUAUUACACACACACUUUCUGGCUGCUACACCGCCAGCAGCGCCCAGGGACCUGGAGCCCGCAGUACUGUCCCUCUUGACCUGCUUUCUCUGGGCAGUGCCGGGGGCCCUGCUGUCUGCUGCACCCCCACACGCCUCCCAACCCCACUUCCAGCCCGGGCAAUGGAGCAACAGAACCCAGAUAGCACUGAGUAGGAAUCCCAGGUCUGCUGCUUGCUGGCUGUGUGGCCUUGCGCAAGUGACUUCACCUCUCUGAGCCUCAGUUUUCUCAUCUGGGACAUGGACGCAACCAACUUGUGAGGUGGUUGUGGGGACUGAGCGCGGUAACAGCUGUAGGGCAUUCAGCACACGGAUCGCUGAGUCGGUUUUGCAUAUUCACUGCACGGAUAUGAUUGGGUGGCAGCUCUGCACCAGGCGCCGGUCUGAGUCACCGAGGAAGUCAUGAUGGGCCAAGCCGACUUCGUGACUGUCUUCGGUCAGGAAGCUUACAUUCCGGUGCAGGAGACAGGAAGUAACCAGGGACUCGCUCAGAGUGCCGCGGACAUCUGAGCUCAUAACGGUUUUAAGAGCACAAGUCUUCCUGGGUCGUUUCUGCACCUGUGGUCCCAGCACGGAAUCUGACGUAUGUCAGUGCUCAGAGGGGCAGCGUGGGAUGAACAAAUGAGAGGACGGAGUCGAGGCAGCCAGCUUGUCCUCCACGGCUCACCUGCUCCUCCGACACCCACAGCAUCCCCGGCCCGGUGGCACCGGGACCAGGCAGGUCUCCGGGGCCGUCUUUCCUGCGGUUCUUCUCCAGAAGACGCGGUGUUGGUGUCAGCAGAUGCCUGUCAGUCUCCUUCCCCAGCAAAACCUCAACUGUCAGAUCCUCAUCAGGUCCCGGACAUCUGGGUGCUGUCAAGAUCCUCACAUUAGUGAUGUGGAGACCGAGGCUCAGAGAGGGGAGGCAGCCUGACCAAGGCCACCGUGACCAAGAAGGGGUUUGAACCCAGGCUUAGCCAGCUGUGAACCUGCCUCGUGAGAUUGGUGAGAGGGCACAGGCCCCCAAGUGUCACACGGCCUGGCACACAGGGAGAAGCUGUCUGCUGUUAUUGUUGUUGUGAACUGAGCCCCUUGGCAGCUCUCCGACCCCAACCCUGUCCCGAGAACUCUCUGGACAUCACUUGGGGCCCCUGAGGGCACGGCGUGGGCUCGGCUGCCCAGGGACUGAGGACCUGCUCAGGGAUCCUGUCCUGUUCCGUGCCCCAGCGGGGCUGCGGUAGGGCGCUCAGUCACCAGACGGGCAAGGACAAGGUCUUGCGGCUGUCAGCCUGGGGCCUUGCCAAGCUGCACCGAAGGGCACGAGGCCCGAGAGCCACCUCUGCUCAGAGCUGCCGCCCAGGCCCUGAGUACGGUCGUUGAGACCAGAGAUUCUGCAGCCAGUGCGAUCAGUUUGAGUCUGGUGUGACCACCAGCUGGCUGGUGACAAAUCGUCGACCGAGUCUCGCUUUCAUCCUCUGUUCAGUGAGAUGAUAAAGAUCCCCCUCCGAGAGUCGAGGGGCUCAGUGUGACUAUGUGAAAAGCACCAGAGCAGGGUCUGACAAACGGGGAAAAAAGACAGAAUGUUCGUGCACAAAAGCUCCUGAAAGAUCUCAGACUCGAAACCCCUCCAGGUGCACAGGAGGAAACGGAAGCCCAGAGAGGGGAUGCCUUUCCUCUCGGCCACCCCGCCGAGCUGUCGCUCACCCCGCAGCUCUGGACUCCGGUCCGGGGCUCCUGCGUCCUCCUGCUGAGCCCCCCUCCAUCCCAGGGCUGCCCUCUCCCUGGGUCGCUGGCCCCCCGCGGCUUCGAGAGUUGGAGCCCCGGGCCCGCAGCAAGGAAUGCCAUUCUCCCUCUCCCUGGCACACUGAAGGUUUUGAAAGUUAAAGUAUUACCGUCGGCUUUGUUGUUGCCUAACUACGCCAGACAAAUUGAGAACUGGUUGUCAACAUGUCAGCGCACAACAAAUCAACAUGCAGAACGAGUCACAGUGCUCGGUGGUGUACAAUUAAACAAAAAAUCCCUUUUAGAAAUUUCAGCGAACGUUGGUUCCACUUUAUAUUUGUCUGUGUGAUUAAUAAAGGCAGCUAAUUUUCAGACUUUAAAAACAGCUAGAAAAUAGCUCCUAAUUACAUAUUAGGUUCCGAGCGGCCCCCGCUGAGCUCCGCUGGCAUUGGUGGGCCGCGGAAUUUGGCAGAGCCUUAAUUGCAUUCUGAGCAUCAUCUAAUUUUA